rnacentral:rRNA from 1 species
UACAGAGGAGCCAAGCGUUGUCCGGAUUGACUGGGCGUAAAGCGCACGCAGGCGGUCUGGCGCGUGGGGUGUGAAAUCUGGCCGCUUAACGGCCAGGCGCCAUCCCAUACGGCCGGACUGGAGCCUUGCAGAGGUCGGUGGAAUUGCCGGUGUAGUGGUGAAAUGCGUAGAGAUCGGCAGGAACACCCAGGGGGAAACCAGCGGACUGGGCAUCAGCUGACGCUCAGGUGCGACAGCGUGGGGAGCGAACCGG